AUUCCAGCUCCAAUAGCGUAUAUUAAUGUUGUUGCAGUUAAAAAGCUCGUAGUUGGAUUUCUGGUGGGAGCGGCCGGUCCGCCGUAAGGUGUGUACUUGGUUGUCUCCUGUCAUCCUUGUGGGAACUGCUCUGGCAUUAAGUUGUCGGGGUUAGGGAACACAUCGUUUACUGUGAAAAAAUUAGAGUGUUUAAAGCAGGCUUAUGCCGUUGAAUACAUUAGCAUGGAAUAAUAAGAUAGGACUUUGGCGUCUAUUUUGUUGGUUUGCACACCAAGGUAAUGAUUAAUAGGGUCAGUUGGGGGCAUUAGUAUUUAAGUGUCAGAGGUGAAAUUCUUGGAUUGCUUAAAGACUAACUUCUGCGAAAGCAUUUGCCAAGGAUGUUUUCAUUG
rnacentral:rRNA from 1 species